CUCCUUUUCCAUGAACAAAUUGAAAUGAUUAUUAUUAAUCCUUUUAUUUGGAAGAAUUUUAAGAAAAGGAGAGAGUGUAUAGGGGAUCCAAUUCCCUUCCUUUCCCUCAAUAUCUCUUCUCCAAAUCAAGGGUAAACAUUCCUUUUUCCCCUUUUUUAGGGUUUGCUGUGGAGUUGGUGAUAAUUGAGGUCCCAGCUGCUUUGGGAGUGUGAUUUUGUGCAUUUAUCUGAAUGGCAUCGGCUCAGGUGUUGCCGAAUUUGGCGGCUUCGACGAGGAAGCAAGAGCAUUUGGAAGAUGGAAAGAAACGGUUGGAACUCCAAUCUGGGUUGGCUGGUGACGCAGAAGAAGAAGGCCAGUCUAUAGGGGACAUUGAGCAUCGUUGGAGGUCAAGCUGUUGAACAAAAAUGAGCUUUGGUUUCUUGUCGCAGCAUGUGUAGUGAAGAAGACAAAAAGGUGCUGAUACAGACAGGCAGAAGCUUGGAGGAGGAAACAAGAACAACUGGAACAAGCACACCUUGUAGAUUGGGCUCGGAUUGCUGAAGAUGGGAAAUGAACUUGAAGAUGGGAAAUGAGCUUGAACAAGUGUCGGUGUGAUGUUCAAAGUACAUAUUGUCGAUUAUUCUGAGCCCAAUGUACAAUUAGUGUGUUGCUAUUCUGAAUAUUUGAGUAAGAAAAUGAAUAUUUAUAUGAUGAUAGUGACAUUUUUACAACUAUGAGCUAAUUUGGUGAGUGCUUUUCAUCCUAAUGUCUGAUUAUCUGUGAGUCCUAUCAUUUUGUAUAAAAAUUUCUGUAUACAAUUUGAUUUUUUUAUACCAUUAGC